UCUCCUUCUUCUUCUUGUCCAGGUAUGGAUAUUUCUGGUACAAUGAGAUACUACUAAUCACGAGAGGAAGAGCCACGAGUCAAUAGUCAGUAUGAGGGAGAAUCGUUGAGUUGUGUACCAGUGAUACGAUUAGGCCCACCAAUGCAUCCAUGAUAUAGUUUUGUGAUCCCACAACGACAUUCCAAAAAUCUGUAAACACAAUAUAAUUGAGAUGGAAUCCAAGGUAGAAGCAAUUGUAAGCAAUAGAAACUUACCGAAGAGAGAAGACUUUGAUGGUGGAGGAGGCUGUUGCUGCUGAACUUUCAGUGAACACUUGAUUCCUUUUCCAAAACCUCUCAAUUGAUUCCUCUUCCUCAAACUAAACCCACCUGUGACAACUCCAAACAUGUAAACUUUCAUACUCUGGGAACUUAACCCAAAACUAUCCAACUUUUAGAGCUAAAUCUCAAAACUAGAGUGGUUCAAAUGCGAAGAAUUUACAGAUAAUUGAGUCAUAUGUCACAAGUUUGAAGAUACCCAUAUGGCAAAAGUCUCCAACUUUCUGAGGUAAAUCGAAUAAUUAGUGUUUAAAAUCGAAGAAUUUACAGAGAAUUGAGUCAUAUGUUACAGUUUGAAGAUACUUGCUUAAAAGCCUAGGAAGAACUAAUGAAAGAUUGAAGCUUUUUUUUAAUCCAAACCUGGGAUUUUGGAUGUUGGAUUGAACUUAGAGGUAUCCAAGAAAGAAGAAAGAGAUUUGGAAUCACCUGGAGGUUGGAUCGAAUCGAAGACCUGCUGCUGGUAUUGGCCGAGCUAUUGCCAUCAUCGUCCGGCAGAGACCACAAGAGAAGAGAGAGACGACAAAAAGAAAAAAAAAAGAAAAAAAAUAAAUAAAUGCACUUUUAAUGAUAAGCUGACACGUGUGUUAAAAACCCUCUUAAUAAUCGGUCUCCACAAUCCUAUAUUAAGGAUCGGUAACAGAUAUUUUAUUUCAUUUUGAUUUAAUUAAAUGCUUCAUUAACUUUAAAAACUCUCUUAAGAAACCCGGAUAAUCAUGGUCUAAAGGGUUUCGGCACCUCACUGGCUGGAAGAAAUCUCAGAUAAACCAGCUUGUCAGUGAGUGGAUGCUUUUCCCUUGCCUUGCUGGGCUUGUACUUAUGGUACUCACUACUCACUCACUCAAUCUACAUCAUUCUCCUGAAUUCCACAAUAGAUUUCUGUAACUCCCUCUCCUCUUUUCAUUGUUUUCAAUUGACUAAAAAGCUUCUGAGCAAUGGAUGAUUUGGCUUGAGUGGGAUUCCAAUGGGUUGCUACAGCCAUAUAACCCAAACCGUAUAACAGACAUACUUUGCUCUUCUUAAAUAUAACAUGAAUUUAUUUCA